CUCUCUCUCUCUCUCUCUCUCUCUCUCUCGCGCACAGCUCCGCCGCCUCGUUAUCUCUAUGCUAGCUACUUGAAGAAAAACUCUGAGCUCAAGACUCAAUGUUUCAAUCUAUCGUCUAAAAGCUUUGAGGUCGUUUGUGGCAUCUUUGAAGAAAAGAAUCAAUCAAUCGCAUUUCUCAAUUCAAGGGUGUUUUUGGUUUUUUCAAAAGGACAGAACUGUUGUUGGCAAGUGGACUAACCAAUUUCCAGUUUGGUAUAUCUUGAGUCAUUGAUUACCAGAUUUUCACCAUGAGGGGAGCUUGUUCUAGGAAGAGAAGCCAUCGAGCUGAUGAAGAUAAUUUUCCUAGAGGGAUUUCCAGAAGAUAUUCCAAAAGUGGGAGUUCAAAGUGCUUGGCAACCUCCUUCUCUCGACUUGCUAUAGAUAUUCAACAUGAAAAAGGGCAAUGCCCAUCCCUCAUGGACUUCUACGUACGGCAAAUACGUGAGGACCCAAUAUAUGGUAAAGUCAUAUUUCUUCAUGGUAAAGUCUCUCGCACUUUCAAGUACCCCAAGGUAAGGGUAGCUAUUCAAGGUUAGGAACUAGCUUAGGGAGUUACCUCUUUCUGUUAAAUCUCUAUUCUUUAAUCUAUUCAAGGUUGUUGUGGAAUGCACUUUUGAUUAUUAUCUAGCUGUGGUGACUCCAUUAGGAUAAUUAGGACUGGGGAGGAUCGAGUUCAAUUACUGCACACCAUGUGUUUGAAGUUAUGCCUAAAAGACAGCACCCAAGCUGAACCAGUGGGCUAUUCCAUGAUUUCCGAAAAACCUAUACUUCUUGUUUUACUCUCAGUUUUUGACAGCUUAAAAUAGACUCUUCAAUGAUCAUUUUGAGCUUAGUUUCAUGAAAAACGGAGUUAAAAUGAAAUAAUUAUGCCAUUUUGAAAUUACUGCACUGU